rnacentral:misc_RNA from 1 species
UCAGUGCGGGAUCUGUAUGGAA